UACGAAGGGUGCAAGCGUUACUCGGAAUUAUUGGGCGUAAAGCGUGCGCAGGCGGUUCGUUGUGUCGGUGGUGAAAUCCCCGGGCUUAACCUGGGAAUGGCCAUGGAAACUGGCGAACUGGAGUGUGGCAGAGGGGGGUGGAAUUCCGCGUGUAGCAGUGAAAUGCGUAGAGAUGCGGAGGAACACCGAUGGCGAAGGCAGCCCCCUGGGCUAGCACUGACGCUCAGGCACGAAAGCGUGGGGAGCAAACAGG
rnacentral:rRNA from 1 species